UUCAUAUAUAAUUAACUACCACGGAGCACAAGCAGCUUUGCUUUUCCAUGAUCAAGCUGCUAGAGAUUUUGGGGUGAGGGAGCGAAAUGAAGGCUAAAUAAAAGAACCGGAGAUAAGAUAAUCCUGCCAUGUUAAAAGGUAUGGUGUAAUAAAGAUGCCAACCUGAUUGAUCAGGAGACUGGGGUCCUAGAGUGCCGGAGUUCAACAGCUCUGCUCCUUGUUGGGACACAGUGGCUGUGGCAACGCUCUGGUCUUUGUGGAGAGAGGAGCCUGGUGUCAGCAAAGGCAGCAGGGGGAAAUCUGAACAAAGACAGACGGAGAGGAUGCUGUGCGACAAUGGAAGCAGAGAUUGGAGUGAUACACCUACAAACAAAGGAAUCCGAAAGACUGCUGGCAAUUGCCAGAGACUAGGACAGAGGGAUGGUACAGAUUCUCCCUCAGUGCCUCCAGAAGGAACCAAUCCUGCCGAAACCUUGAUUUUGGACUUUCAGCUUCCAGAAACAGUAAAUAUACAUUGUUUUAAGCUAUCCAGUUUGUGGUGACUUGUUAUGGCAGCCCUCAGAAACCAAUACAGUAAUUUCCACAUCAUCAGUCUUGAAGAAAAAGGUUAUAGGAACAGGAGUCAACCUCUUGGAGUUUCAAUUUCCUCCCCUAUAAAUUGGGAAAUUUUGAAAUUGCCUGGUGGACUAGAAAUGAAGCAAAACACAGAAAAACCUGAGAUGAAAGAUGGAGAGUGCUUAAGGGGAACUAGUACUGGCUUCCAUGCCCAGCUGCAUCACUGCCCCUUGAGCUUCCCGUGACAUCCCAAAAAACUUGCGAUUGAAGCUCCCGCUGUGCUUUAAUUCACUCCAGUUGAUGUGGUGAACAGAAAUGAGUCCAAAUGACACUAGUCCCACCCCACAACUUUCGCAACUUUACUGCUAAAAAUUAACUCAAGUGCCUUUUGGCAAAUGGAAUAUACACUGCUGAUUCUGAUAUUGUAAUCUUUAGUGACCUAUGACAUGGUUCCAUCACCGAGCUGAGGAGAAACAAACAAAACAAAAAACCCUACAUCCAUUUUUUGGUUGUUGUUGGAUACCAGAAAAGUCUCAUACAUCCUCCUUACAAUUUUUUAAAUUCCAGGUUAAACAGCUAUUACUGUUUACUUGUGAGAGUAUCAGUUAGGACUCUUUUAUGUCAAAAGUUAAUAGAAAAUCCAACUUGAGCUAGUUCACCUAAAUGGAAUGCUCACAUUAUUGGAAACCACAGAGGUAGGGCAGGCUUCAGGAAUGAUUGAUUCGGCAGCUCAAAGCUGUCAUCAAUGACCCAAUUUCUUUGUUUCUCCCUUUCUGCCAUCUGGUGUCAGCUCUGUCCUCAUGGUCACAGGACGGGUGCCAGCUACAAACAGAGUGCAGCCCAGUCUAGCAUCCCAAACAAGAGUCAUAAAAGUCACUCAAUUGGCCCAGCAUAGGUCAGAUUCCCAUUCCUAAAAGAAUAAUGUGGCUAAAUAAAUGAAAUGCACUAAUUGACCUAUCAAUCAAAGCCCACUCCAGGGGCUAGAGUGUGAUCCAUUUUACUAGACACACAUAGGCUGCACUGGCCAGGGGAGAUACCCAAACAAAGAUCAGAUAAUUUUUGGAGGAGAAACAUGUGGCAAACUAUGCUAGGUAGACAACUAAUAAAUGUCUACCACACUUGGUUCUUCCAUGUGUUACUAGAAAAUAACUUUAAAAUUCCACUUUAUUUUGUAACCAUUACAGUAAUAAUUAGUUCAGGCAAGAAUCAUCAUGCUAAACUGGUGAAUGAGAGCUUAAUGAGGAAGAAGAUAUUUAUAAAGUCUCAAAUUAUAUCCCCACAAAUGACUCAACUAAUAUUAAAGUAAAAACAUAGUAACUUUACUAUGAGAAAACCUGGUAGAGACCACCUUAACCAAGUGAUUGAAGUUAACAUCAGCUGUAAACAUCAUAAGCCUCCUGAUAAACUGCACUGAGAAGGACACAACAUCACUUUAUAGUACAUUUCACCAAAGAUGCAUAACAUGAAUCUAAUCCUAAGAAAACAUCAGACAAACUCAAUUAAGGGGCAUUCUACAAAAUAACUGACCUGUACUUUUCAGCAGUGUCACUGAUGUGAAAGACACAGAAAGGCUGAGGAAACAUUACAAAUUAAUGGAGACAAGUGAAAACUAAAGGUAGUGUGUAAUUCUGGAUCAAAAACAUAAUUGCUAUGAAGGACAGUAUGUCUAUAUCAUAGAUAGUAGUACUGCAUCAAUGUUAAAUGGUUUUGAAAAUUGUACUGUGGUCAUGUAGUGAACGUCUUUGUCCUUAGUAAAUAUACACUGAAGUGUUUAAUAAAGGAGUAUGAAGUGUGCAACAUACUCUCAAAUAGCUUGAGGAAAAAAAUGUGUAUACACACACACACACAAUCACACACAUACAGAAAAACUGUAAAGGCAAAUGUGGCAAAAUGUUAAUAAUUGGUGAAUAUGCGUGAAAGGUAUAUGGUAGUUCUUUGUACUAUUUUUGUAACUUUUCUUUAAGUUUGAAAUUACUUCAAAAUAAAAAGUUUUUUA
rnacentral:lncRNA from 10 species